GCCAGGCGUGGUGGCGCUCACCUGUAAUCCCAGUGGCUUGGGAGGCUGAGACAGGAGGAUUACGAGUCCAAAGCCAGCCUCAGCAAAAAGCGAGGUGCUAAGCAACUCAGUGAGACCCUGUCUCUC
rnacentral:sRNA from 1 species